UGAUUUACAUGGAUGUAAUUUGGAUGAUAUGCUGAGUAUAAACAAUCAUUUUGCUAUACUACCAUACAAGUAUACACUAAGUACAGCAGGAUUAAAAAUUACCACGCUAAAUUUUUAAGUAAGUCUGCAAUUUGCAUAUGCUUCCGCUAACACGUAUCGUUACUAUCGAUUAUUGCAAGAAGUUGCGACAAGUUUUACAGUGCACAUUACUUAUUACUGUCAACACUGUAAAUAAAUAUACGAUAUAUGUCAAGAUUACUAAUACUACGUAUGUACAAAUAGGAAAAUGUCUACAGCGGGUCACAGAAGUAAUUUAUCGAUAAAUAUAAUUCUAUUUAAAAACAACUAGAUCAUUAACAGCAACGAUAAGCAGUCCAACCUGCGGCCAUAUGCAUAAUUGAAAACUGCUGAUUUGUUGUCACUGAAAGUAAUGCAAGAUACGUGGAAGACAUUCUAUUGAUCACAAGCGAUGGUAUAAAAAUCGCUGUAAUAGAACAUUGGCUAGAAAGAUCCGCCGUAUAAUACUGAAGAAUUUAAAUAAAAAAUAUUUUACUAAUAUUUCAUAUUUUGACGGAUGUCAUAAAUGUCGCAGUUCACUAUUUUCCAGCAGUUAGUAAAUUUUGGGAAGCAUUCGACCAUUAAUGCAUAUUGAAAUAUAGCAAUUUAUUAUUUAUAU